GCCUGGGUGGCUCAGUGGUUGAGCAUCUGCCUUCGGCUCAGGAUGUGAUCCCAGGGUCCUGGGAUCGAAUCCCACAUCGGGCU
rnacentral:tRNA from 1 species